GCCUGGGUGGCUGAGUUGGUUAAGCAUCUGACUUUGGCUCAGGUCAUGAUGUCAUGGGUCGUGGGUUCAAGCCCCGUGCCGGGCU